GGUACUAUGGCCGAGCGGUCUAAGGCGUAAGAUUCAAGCACAUUCUCUGCUUACACAGCUAAGUGUUUCCCCCUUAUUCAUCCUGGGUUCAAAUCCCAGUGGUACCA